CGUGUAGGCGGUCCGGUAAGUCCGCUGUGAAAGUCCAGGGCUCAACCCUGGAAUGCCGGUGGAUACUGCCGGGCUAGAGUCCGGAAGAGGCGAGUGGAAUUCCUGGUGUAGCGGUGAAAUGCGCAGAUAUCAGGAGGAACACCGAUGGCGAAGGCAGCUCGCUGGGACGGUACUGACGCUGAGACGCGAAAGCGUGGGGAGCAAACA
rnacentral:rRNA from 1 species